GAUGAACGCUGGCGGCGUGCCUAAUACAUGCAAGUCGAGCGAACGGACGAGAAGCUUGCUUCUCUGAUGUUAGCGGCGGACGGGUGAGUAACACGUGGAUAACCUACCUAUAAGACUGGGAUAACUUUGGGAAACCGGAGCUAAUACCGGAUAAUAUUUUGAACCGCAUGGUUCAAAAGUGAAAGACGGUCUUGCUGUCACUUAUAGCUGGCUCCGCGCUGCAUUAGCUAGUUGGUAAGGUAACGGCUUACCAAGGCGACGAUGCAUAGCCGACCUGAAAGGGAGAACGGACACCCGGGAACCGAGACACGGUCCAGACACUGGAGGGAGGAAGCGGUAGAGAAUCUUACGCAAUGGGGGAAUGCCUGACGGAGCAACGCGGCAUGAUGGAUGAACAUCUUCGGAUCCUAAAACUCUGUUGUUAGUAAAGAACAUAUGUGUAAGUAACUGUGCACAUCUUGACGGUACCUAAUGAGAAAGCCACGGCUAACUACGUG
rnacentral:rRNA from 1 species